AUUGAACGCUGGCGGCAUGCUUUACACAUGCAAGUCGAACGGCAGCGCGGGCUUCGGCCUGGCGGCGAGUGGCGAACGGGUGAGUAAUACAUCGGAACGUGCCCAGUAGUGGGGGAUAGCUCGGCGAAAGCCGGAUUAAUACCGCAUACGACCUGAGGGUGAAAGCGGGGGAUCUUCGGACCUCGCGCUAUUGGAGCGGCCGAUGGCAGAUUAGCUAGUUGGUGGGGUAAAGGCCUACCAAGGCGACGAUCUGUAGCUGGUCUGAGAGGACGACCUGCCACACUGGGACUGAGACACGGCCCAGACUCCUACGGGAGGCAGCAGUGGGGAAUUUUGGACAAUGGGCGAAAGCCUGAUCCAGCAAUGCCGCGUGUGUGAUGAAGGCCUUCGGGUUGUAAAGCACUUUUGGCGGGAACGAAAAGGACUGUGCCAAUACCACGGUUCGAUGACGGUACCCGCAGAAUAAGCACCGGCUAACUACGUG
rnacentral:rRNA from 1 species